rnacentral:ribozyme from 13 species
CUUCUUCUUCUUCUUUCAUUUUUCGUUUUUCUUUUCCAAAGAAUUUCUUCUUGACCCUUUUUCCUAACGAAGAAGAAGGUUUAAUACUAACUGGAAUUGACCGAUGAAUCGACAGUAAAAGA